rnacentral:tRNA from 1 species
GGAGAGGUGCUCGAGUGGCUGAAGAGGCACGCUUGGAAAGCGUGUAAAUGCGAAAGUGUUUCGAGGGUUCGAAUCCCUCUCUCUCCG